rnacentral:rRNA from 1 species
CCUACGGGCGGCAGCAGUGGGGGAUAUUGCACAAUGGGGGAAACCCUGAUGCAGCGACGCCGCGUGGGUGAAGAAGCGCCUCGGCGCGUAAAGCCCUGUCAGCAGGGAAGAAAAUGACGGUACCUGAAGAAGAAGCCCCGGCUAACUACGUGCCAGCAGCCGCGGUAAUACGUAGGGGGCAAGCGUUAUCCGGAUUUACUGGGUGUAAAGGGGGCGCAGACGGGGAUGCAAGCCAGGAGUGAAAGCCCGGGGCCCAACCCCGGGACUGCUCGUGGAACUGCGUGGCUAGAGUGCAGGAGGGGCAGGCGGAAUUCCUGGUGUAGCGGUGAAAUGCGUAGAUAUCAGGAGGAACACCGGUGGCGAAGGCGGCCUGCUGGACUGCAACUGACGUUGAGGCCCGAAAGCGUGGGGAGCAAACAGGAUUAGAUACCCCAGUAGUC